rnacentral:rRNA from 1 species
UACGUAGGUGGCAAGCGUUGUCCGGAUUUACUGGGCGUAAAGGGCGUGCAGGCGGUCUGUUAAGUUCAGGGUGAAAGCUCCCGGCUCAACUGGGAGAGGUCCUUGGAUACUGGCAGACUUGAGGAGGGUAGAGGAGAGUGGAAUUCCCGGUGUAGUGGUGAUAUGCGUAGAUAUCGGGAGGAACACCAGUGGCGAAGGCGGCUCUCUGGGCCCUACCUGACGCUGAGACGCGAAAGCGUGGGGAGCGAACAGG